rnacentral:rRNA from 1 species
CCCCAUAGUCUGGGAUACCACUUGGAAACAGGUGCUAAUACCGGAUAAGAAAGCGGAUCGCAUGAUCAGCUUUUAAAAGGCGGCGUAAGCUGUCGCUAUGGGAUGGCCCCGCGGUGCAUUAGCUAGUUGGUAAGGUAAAGGCUUACCAAGGCGAUGAUGCAUAGCCGAGUUGAGAGACUGAUCGGCCACAUUGGGACUGAGACACGGCCCAAACUCCUACGGGAGGCAGCAGAA